rnacentral:lncRNA from 1 species
UCCUGGAUAGUUUGAUCUUGUUAUUUUAUGAUAGCAUUGGUGCCAUUGCUCAAGUGAAAGAAUUGAAGUUCCAUCAACGUACCAAGCACAUAUUGCAUAGCUACCACCUGAUCUGAGCGAUCGUGAAUUGAGGUGACGUCGAGCUUCAGAAGAUUGAUAGAAAUAAGAACCUAACCGAUCCAUUUAUGAAAUCCAUCAGUGUCAAGGUAUUCGAAGACCAUAAAUUGAAGAUGGGUAUACGAUAUUGUACUGG